GUGGGGAAUCUUGCGCAAUGGGCGAAAGCCUGACGCAGCCAUGCCGCGUGAAUGAUGAAGGUCUUAGGAUUGUAAAAUUCUUUCACCGGGGACGAUAAUGACGGUACCCGGAGAAGAAGCCCCGGCUAACUUCGUGCCAGCAGCCGCGGUAAUACGAAGGGGGCUAGCGUUGCUCGGAAUUACUGGGCGUAAAGGGCGCGUAGGCGGAUCGUUAAGUCAGGGGUGAAAUCCCAGAGCUCAACUCUGGAACUGCCCUUGCUACUGGCGAUCUUGAGUGUGAGAGAGGUAUGUGGAACUCCGAGUGUAGAGGUGAAAUUCGUAGAUAUUCGGAAGAACACCAGUGGCGAAGGCGACAUACUGGCUCAUUACUGACGCUGAGGCGCGAAAGCGUGGGGAGCAAACAGGAUUAGAUACCCGAGUAGUCC
rnacentral:rRNA from 1 species